rnacentral:rRNA from 1 species
UACGUAGGGUGCGAGCGUUAAUCGGAAUUACUGGGCGUAAAGCGUGCGCAGGCGGUUUGUUAAGUCAGGCGUGAAAUCCCCGGGCUCAACCUGGGAAUGGCGCUUGUUACUGGCAGGCUAGAGUGUGUCAGAGGGAGGUAGAAUUCCACGUGUAGCAGUGAAAUGCGUAGAGAUGUGGAGGAAUACCGAUGGCGAAGGCAGCCUCCUGGGAUAACACUGACGCUCAUGCACGAAAGCGUGGGGAGCAAACAGG